rnacentral:lncRNA from 1 species
CUCACAUCAGUCCAAGUGUCACAUUUGGGUUGGGGGAAGCUUGUUAGCAGUAAUUACCAGCAGUAGGUUCUAUUAUUUGCCAGAGUAAUUUUCCCUGCUAAGUACCACCAAAACUGCCUCGAGCCUUUAAUUUUUUUUUGCCUUCCUCGGCUCCCUUUUAAGCGGGUGCAUUUUCCCAUGAUACUGCCCUGCCCGGAGCGGCCGGGGCAGGCCCCAGGCCCGGGUAUCAAUGUGAUCCUGAGAGAUGGGAGGGUAUUUCUGGUGGUUCUUGCUGAAUGGUGUUGUGUCUCGAAGGAUGUAGUCAAGGGAUGAAGUGACAGGAAAGGAAGUGAUUUAGGAUCAGAAAUUCAUGCAAGAUAGACCCCAGCAGGAGUACUACUUCAGUCUUUUCCUUAGCAAGUGGCAGCCAUAUAUUAGAUGGACCCUUACUACCACCAAUGACCAUUAACAGAAAAUCCAGCGGCCCUUGGCAGUUACUUUCAAGGUUAGACAUUCAUUCUGCCUUGAUUCC